UCCCCUGAACAAGGCAGUUGACCCACUGUUCCCCUGAACAAGGCAGUUGACCCACUGUUCCCCUGAACAAGGCAGUUAACCCACUGUUCCCCUGAACAAGGCAGUUGACCCACUGUUCCCCUGAACAAGGCAGUUGACCCACUGUUCCCCUGAACAAGGCAGUUGACCCACUGUUCCCCUGAACAAGGCAGUUGACCCACUGUUCCCCUGAACAAGGCAGUUAACCCACUGUUCCCCUGAACAAGGCAGUUGAC